AAUCAACGCUGGCGGCGUGCCUCAGACAUGCAAGUCGAACGAUUAAAGCUCUCUUCGGAGAGUGUAUAGAGUGGCGCACGGGUGAGUAACACGUAAGUAAUCUACCUUCGAGUGGGGAAGUAACGUCCGGAACGGACGCUAAUACGCAUAAUGCAGCGGCAUCGCAAGAUGACAGUUGUUAAAGAUUUAUCGCUUGAAGAGGAGCUUGCGGCAGAUAGCUAGUUGGUAAGGUAAUGGCUUACCAAGGCUACAAUCUGUAACCGGUCUAAGAGGACGGUCGGUCACACUGACACUGAAUAACGGGUCAGACUCCUACGGGGAGGCAGCAGUCGGGAAUUUUGGGGCAAUGGGCGAAAGCCUGACCCAGCAACGCCGCGUGAAGGA
rnacentral:rRNA from 1 species